UUCUAGUGUACAUAAAUAAAUCUUUAAAAAAGUAAAAUAAAGAUCUUGGCCUUUCUCAAGAUCAUAGCAAUUUAGAAGAAUAUCAGGUAUGCCUAAGGUCUUUGAGCCAGAAAGUAGGACUAUUUCUUUUGCCUCCCAUUGGCAGCCAAAGCAA
ensembl:snoRNA predicted gene, 22478